GAUGAAGAACGUAGCGAAAUGCGAUAAGUAAUGUGAAUUGCAGAAUUCAGUGAAUCAUCGAAUCUUUGAACGCACAUUGCGCCCGCCAGCAUUCUGGCGGGCAUGCCUGUUCGAGCGUCAUUUCAACCCUCGAGCCCCCCCGGGGGCCUCGGUGUUGGGGGACGGCACACCAGCCGCCCCCGAAAUGCAGUGGCGACCCCGCCGCAGCCUCCCCUGCGUAGUAGCACACACCUCGCACCGGAGCGCGGAGGCGGUCACGCCGUAAAACGCCCAACUUUCUUAGAGUUGACCUCGGGUCAGGUAGGAAUACCCGCUGAACUUAAGCAUAUCAAUAAGCGGAGGA
rnacentral:misc_RNA from 1 species